rnacentral:rRNA from 1 species
UACGAAGGGAGCUAGCGUUGUUCGGAAUCACUGGGCGUAAAGCGCACGUAGGCGGAUGUGUCAGUCAGGGGUGAAAUCCCGGAGCUCAACUUCGGAACUGCCCUUGAUACAGCACGUCUUGAGUCCGGAAGAGGUGGGUGGAAUUCCUAGUGUAGAGGUGAAAUUCGUAGAUAUUAGGAAGAACACCGGUGGCGAAGGCGGCCCACUGGUCCGGUACCGACGCUGAGGUGCGAAAGCGUGGGGAGCAAACAGG